AUUGAACGCUGGCGGCAGGCCUAACGCAUGCAAGUCGAACGGCAGCGGGGGAUAGCUUGCUAUCCUACCGGCGAGUGGCGGACGGGUGAGUAAUGCAUGGGGAGCUGCCCAGUCGAGGGGGAUAACAACUGGAAACGGUUGCUAAUACCGCAUACGCCCUAAGGGGGAAAGGUGGGGAACUUCGGUCCUACCGCGAUUGGAUGCGCCCAUGUGGGAUUAGCUAGUUGGUGAGGUAACGGCUCACCAAGGCGACGAUCUCUAGCUGGUCUGAGAGGAUGACCAGCCACACUGGAACUGAGACACGGUCCAGACUCCUACGGGAGGCAGCAGUGGGGAAUAUUGCACAAUGGGGGAAACCCUGAUGCAGCCAUGCCGCGUGUGUGAAGAAGGCCUUCGGGUUGUAAAGCACUUUCAGUCAGGAGGAAGGGGUGAUGGCUAAUAUCCAUCAUCAUCGACGUUACUGACAGAAGAAGCACCGGCUAACUCCGUGCCAGCCGCCGCAGUAA
rnacentral:rRNA from 1 species